rnacentral:rRNA from 1 species
AUUGAACGCUGGCGGCAGGCCUAACACAUGCAAGUCGAGCGAGCGGCGGACGGGUGAGUAAUGUAUGGGGACUGCCCGAUAGAGGGGGAUAACUACUGGAAACGGUAGCUAACACCGCAUAGUAUAGGAUAACUCAUAUGGGAUUAGCUAGUAGUUGAGGUAAUGGCUCACCUGGGCGACGAUCCCUAGCUGGUCUGAGAGGAUGAUCAGCCACACUGGGGCUGGUACAGGGCCCAGACUCCUACGGAGGCAGCAGUGGGGAAUAUUGGACAGUGGGCGGAAGCCUUAUGCAGCCGUGCGGCGUGUAGGAAGAAGGCCCUGGGGUUGUAAAGUACUUUCAGUCGGGAGGCGUUACCGACAGAAGAAGCACCGGCUAACUCCGUGCCAGCAGCCGCGGUAAUAC